GAUGAACGCUGGCGGCGUGCCUAAUACAUGCAAGUCGAGCGAACAGAUAAGGAGCUUGCUCCUUUGACGUUAGCGGCGGACGGGUGAGUAACACGUGGGUAACCUACCUAUAAGACUGGAAUAACUCCGGGAAACCGGGGCUAAUGCCGGAUAACAUUUAGAACCGCAUGGUUCUAAAGUGAAAGAUGGUUUUGCUAUCACUUAUAGAUGGACCCGCGCCGUAUUAGCUAGUUGGUAAGGUAACGGCUUACCAAGGCAACGAUACGUAGCCGACCUGAGAGGGUGAUCGGCCACACUGGAACUGAGACACGGUCCAGACUCCUACGGGAGGCAGCAGUAGGGAAUCUUCCGCAAUGGGCGAAAGCCUGACGGAGCAACGCCGCGUGAGUGAGGAAGGUCUUCGGAUCGUAAAACUCUGUUAUUAGGGAAGAACAAAUGUGUAAGUAACUGUGCACGUCUUGACGGUACCUAAUCAGAAAGCCACGGCUAACUACGUG
rnacentral:rRNA from 1 species